rnacentral:rRNA from 1 species
CCUACGGGAGGCUGCAGUGGGGAAUAUUGGACAAUGGGGGGAACCCUGAUCCAACCAUGCCGCGUGUGUGAAGAAGGCCCUCGGGUUGUAAAGCACUUUCAGUGAGGAAGAACGCCUGGUGGUUAAUACCCAUCAGGAAAGACAUCACUCACAGAAGAAGCACCGGCUAACUCCGUGCCAGCAGCCGCGGUAAUACGGAGGGUGCGAGCGUUAAUCGGAAUUACUGGGCGUAAAGCGCGCGUAGGUGGCUUGAUAAGCCGGUUGUGAAAGCCCCGGGCUCAACCUGGGAACGGCAUCCGGAACUGUCAAGCUAGAGUGCAGGAGAGGAAGGUAGAAUUCCCGGUGUAGCGGUGAAAUGCGUAGAGAUCGGGAGGAAUACCAGUGGCGAAGGCGGCCUUCUGGACUGACACUGACACUGAGGUGCGAAAGCGUGGGUAGCAAACAGGAUUAGAUACCCUAGUAGUC